rnacentral:rRNA from 1 species
AUUGAACGCUGGCGGCAGGCCUAACACAUGCAAGUCGAACGAGUGGCGGACGGGUGAGUGAUGUCUGGGGAACUGCCCGAUGGAGGGGGAUAACUCCUGGAAACGGUAGCUAAUACCGCAUACCAUCGGAUGUGCCCAGAUGGGAUUAGCUAGUAGGUGGGGUAAUGGCUCACCUGGGCGACGCUCCCUAGCUGGUCUGAGAGUAUGACCAGCCACACUGGAACUGAGACACGGUCCAGACUCCUACGGGAGGCAGCAGUGGGGAAUAUUGCACAAUGGGCGCAAGUCUGAUGCAGCCAUGCCGCGUGUAUGAAGAAGGCCUUCGGGUUGUAAAGUACUUUCAGCGGGGAGGCGUUACCCGCAGAAGAAGCACCGGCUAACUCCGUGCCAGCAGCCGCGGUAAUUC